rnacentral:rRNA from 1 species
UACGUAGGGAGCAAGCGUUGUCCGGAAUUAUUGGGCGUAAAGAGCUCGUAGGCGGUCUGUCGCGUCGGAUGUGAAAAUCCAGGGCUCAACCCUGGACCUGCAUUCGAUACGGGCAGACUAGAGUUCGGUAGGGGAGACUGGAAUUCCUGGUGUAGCGGUGAAAUGCGCAGAUAUCAGGAGGAACACCGGUGGCGAAGGCGGGUCUCUGGGCCGAAACUGACGCUGAGGAGCGAAAGCGUGGGGAGCGAACAGG